AUGAGAGGUUAUGAGAGUCAGAGUAAAGCAUAGCAAUGAAGUUGCGAUGGAGCAAGACUGAUCCUUUCACCGUGCAAUGACCCUCGUCACCUUCUCCUUCGUAUUUCGGCUUCAUUGAUUGGAUAUAUAAUGAUAAAUGCAAGAUGAUUCUCAAGAAACUUAUAAAUCAAGUUGAUUCCGAUCAUGGCUAUGCGUUGCUCUAUGCUCACUGCGUCGCAUCGUUCAAGGAUGAUAGUUUAGUUGGAAAGAAAUUCUUGCAAAAGAAUCCCGAGGGUAAAUCUUGAUCGUGGUUAUAAAGAAACGUUAUAUGAAAAGUUGAGAUUAAAGUAAAAAAGAAUUGAACACCGCCUCUAUAUCUGGGGGUAGGAAAGGAGAAACCGAAACCCUGUUGAGCUGAGUUGCGUUGGGAUUGAAAUUUCAAAUUUCAAUGACACACAGUUUGAAGCAUACAGUGGAUUCGGAGUGCAGUGAUAACAAUCGGCCGUCCAAGUUAUCAAAAAUCGAGCAUCCCACUCACAUUGAAGAAGAAGAAGAAGACGACGAAGAAAAAGGAAUGAAUCAAAACCCUAGGAAUGGGAUUCAACGCUAUUUGUUUGCAAUCGAGUAUAUCGGCACUCUUUUCUCCGGUUCACAGAAGCAGCUCACUUGUCGUACCGUCGUUGGAGCGCUCGAGGAAGCUUUUGCUAAAUUUGUUGGCCAGCCCGUCUCUGUUUCUUGUUCAAGUCGAACUGAUGCUGGAGUUCAUGCCUUGUCAAAUGUUUGUCAUGUGGAUAUUCAACGGACCAGCAAAAGGAAGCCCGGUGAAGUGUUACCACCUCAUGAACCUGCUGUGGUUGGAAGGGCUGUAAACCAUUUCUUGCAGAAGCAUGACAGUGACUUAACGAUUAUCGAUGUUCGAUGUGUUCCAUCUGAUUUUCAUGCCAGAUUUAAAGCACAAGAGCGCACAUACUUCUAUCGUUUGCUGUCUGGGCCAGAGCCUUUGUCAACCUUUGAGAAAGAUCGAGCAUGGCAUGUAUCUGAGGAUCUUAAUCUUCCAGCUAUGCAAGAAGCAUGCAGGGUUCUUGUUGGAUGCCAUGAUUUUAGUUCCUUCAGGGCAGCUGGUUGUCAGGCAAAAUCACCAAUUAGAACUUUGGAUGAACUGAGUGUCACCGAGGUAAUUGAAAGUCUAUAUUUCCCAUCUGUAAUGGAUAGAGAAGGACAUAAUAAAGUUAGUAGUGAUCUUCGUGGCUACCUUAACAACUCCGAAACUGACAUUUCUCCUAGUUCAAGUCCAUGCAUUGAUAAAGUAACGACUUCAGGUGUAGGAUUUGGCAAACGAAGACGACAUCGUUGCCUGGUGGUAACAGCACGAGCACGUUCCUUUCUUUACCACCAGGUUGAGUAAUCUAACUUUGAAUUGAAUCCAGUUAGAUUACUUGUGGGUGUUCUCAAGGCUGUCGGCACUGGAAACCUGACAAUUCCGGACGUUGAAAGAAUUUUGAAUGCCAAGAGUGUUACUUCCGCAAGUCCAAUGGCUCCAGCAUGUGGUCUUUACCUGGGAGAGGUGAAAUAUGAUCUGCCUACAACUUAGUUCACCCAAUCCAAUGGAUAAAUUUUGUCCCUUGUAUGAACUUAACUUUAUCAUUACUUAACUUUGUUUCUUUAAAAUUAAGGAAAAACUUUCUCAAACA